CUGCUUUGAAUUAUUGAGAGCUCUCCCUCUCCUCUGUGCCUUUUAAUGACGCUUUGGAUCAGUGGAUACUAUCACUCGUCACCAGAGGAAAAUAGAACUUGGGUCAGUAAACACACACAAAAAGAAGGAAGAUAGCCAGUGGAGGAAUUUGAUGAUUAAAGAAUUAAGAUUUCUGUCUUGGAAAUACAUCCUGGGCUGCCGUCACCUAAAACUGUGUGGUAAUGCAGUGAUGAACUUGCAGCAGGUAGUCUAGGUCAGCCAAUAGAGAGGAGUGGACAACAGAAACUUGUCUAUGGGUACACCAGAGUUGAUAGAUCUUCCAUUUCUGAAGAUAAGCAUGAUGCCUGGACUCCUUUCUGCUGUUUAAUACCACCUUUUGCACUACUGUUGAAUAUAAAGUCUCUAACCCAGAGACCAUCAAGUAGUCACACCUGAAGCUGCAGGAUCUCCAGAGACUGGGGUGAAGUAUCUGACCUGCCUCCUGAGACAAUAGAUGGGGCUGAGUGGAAUUUGCAGUAGAGGGUCAGAAGCAAGUUGAAUGAGGUAAGGAUACCAAACCAGUCUUGGACACGAUGGUGCAAUUAAACUGACUUUAUCUUUAUCCUGCUUGUUCCCAUUGAGAACCUUCACGAACAACUGUUUUGAUGGAUAUGCAUAAUAAAGGUCCUUUG